rnacentral:rRNA from 1 species
AGCGCCUACGGGACGCAGCAGUGGGGAAUAUUGCGCAAUGGGCGAAAGCCUAACGCAGCGACGCCGCGUGAGGGAUGAAGGUCUUCGGAUCGUAAACCUCUGUCAGCAGGGAAGAACGGUCACUGUGCUAAUCAGCAGUGAAUUGACGGUACCUGCAAAGGAAGCACCGGCUAACUCCGUGCCAGCAGCCGCGGUAAUACGGAGGGUGCGAGCGUUAAUCGGAAUUACUGGGCGUAAAGCGCUCGUAGGCGGUAUGUCACGUCAAGGGUGAAAUCCCCGCGCUCAACGGGG